GGGCAGAUAGCUCAGCUGGUAGAGCAAUGGACUGAAAAUCCAUGUGUCGCCGGUUCAAUCCCGGCUCUGCCCA
rnacentral:tRNA from 1 species